rnacentral:rRNA from 1 species
ACCGUGCGAGUCGAGCGCCCCGCCAAGGGGAGCGGCAGAACGGGUGAAGUAACGCGAUGGGAAUCUACCCAUCCCUACGGAACAACUCCGG